rnacentral:rRNA from 1 species
UUGAGCAGCGUUUCCACCUUUUUCAGCCUUGAUCACUCCAGGCCACAGAAGCUAAGCAAGGCUGAAUGAGGUCAGUACUGGGAUGGGAGACCUCAAAGGAAAUGCAGGUCACUUCUAAAA